rnacentral:rRNA from 1 species
AACAUGUCCUUAUGGUUAUAUAUUUAAGGUUUAACCUGCCCAAUGAAAAUUUUUUAAUGGCCGCAGUAUUUUAACUGUGCUAAGGUAGCAUAAUCAAUUGUCUUUUAAUUAAGGGCUUGAAUGAAUGGUUGGACAAAAUAUUAACUUUCUUUUUAUUAAUUAAUGAAUUUAAUUUUUAAGUGAAAAAGCUUAAAUAUAUUUAAGGGACGAGAAGACCCUAUAGAGCUUUAUAUUUAUAUUUAUUUAAUGAAUUUGUUUAUGUAUUUUAUAAUAUUUUGUGUAUUUUGUUGGGGUGACAGUAAAAUUUUAUUAACUUUUAUUUUUUAUUAUCAUUUAUUUAUGUUACUUUGAUCCAUUAUUAAUGAUUAGAAGAUUAAGUUACCUUAGGGAUAACAGCGUAAUUUAUUCGAAGAGUUCAUAUUGAUGAAUAAGUUUGCGACCUCGAUGUUGGAUUAAAAUUAGAUUUAGGCGCAGAAGUUUAUUAUCUAGGUCUGUUCGACCUUUAAUUUUUUACAUGAUCUGA